rnacentral:rRNA from 15 species
AAGGGUCAGGAAAAACAAAAUAGUAAAACUGUACCGUAAACUGACACAGGUGGAUAAGUAUCAAAGUACUAAGGUGUUCGAGUAUAAACUCUUUCAAGGAACUCGGCAAGUUAAUCCUGUAACUUCGGGAGAAAGGCAAGAUGAGUUAAUAGACUUGUAUAGAUAAUAGGGAGGGGGGACUGUUUACCAAAAACACAGGUGGAGAUUAAAUCUAAGUUAGAUGAAAUACCUCCAUUGACGCCUGCCCUGGUGCGUUAGCAUAUAAGUAAGGAGUUUCUUAACUAAUAGUUUAUGUAAACUCAAGUCAGGUUAUUGCUUGGCUACGAGUAUCGCGCGAACGGCCGCUCUACCGAUGAGGGUGUUAAUGUAGCGAAAUUCCUUGUCAUUUAAUUGGUGACCUGCAUGAAUGGCGUAACCAUCCCUCUACUGUCUCGAGAGAGAGCUCGGCGAAAUUGAAUAACCAGUGAAAAUGCUGGUAGUGAAGCAGUAGGACGGAAAGACCCUAUGGAGCUUUACUGAAGUCAACGCUA